rnacentral:rRNA from 1 species
AACCUGGUUGAUCCUGCCAGUAGUCAUAUGCUUGCUUCAAGGAUUAAGCCAUGCAAGUGUCGAGUAAAUAACUGCACAGUUGAUCUGCGUACAGCUCAUUACAGUCGUAAUCUACCUGCAUGAAUGACUCUGUCAUCGAGUGGAUAACUUCAGUAACUUCGAAACUAAUACAUGGACGAGAAAUCGAGUAGCCGUUCAGCACAAGGAGUAACAUCCGAGUGUGGCUCCACGAUGCUUUUGGUCGUAAUAGAAACUGGUCAAUCAGAUUGAAUCUAUUGUGGCAUCAGACCAUUCUGUACAAGGAAACCGUUGCUUGCAACAUUCCGUGUGCGGUUGAGCGACUGACCUAUCAGCUUGUUUGCAAUGUAUUGGACUGCAGAGGCUUUGACGGGUAACGGAGAAUCAGGGUUCGAUUCCGGAGAGGGAGCCUGUGAAACGGCUGCCAUGUCUAAGGACAGCAGCAGGCGCGCAAAUUGCCCAAUACUAGCAUGAGCGAGGCAGCGACGAGAAGUAUUUACCUUGUGCUACAUUGUAUCACGAGGACAGAAAUUGGUGAUAUCCAAAACCAUCCCUGAGGAUCGACUGGAGGGCAAGUCUGGUGCCAGCAGCCGCGGUAAUUCCAGCUCCAAUAGCGUAUACUAAUGCUGUUGCUGUUAAAAAGCUCGUAGUUCGAUAAGGAUUGAUUCUGGUUCAGAUUCAGUGCUUCGCAGCUUUGCUGCAAUGGAGAAUUGGACCUGAGAAUAUCGUGCCAUAGUCAGUUCCUACGGGUUCUGCUGUGGUACUAAGCUCUAGUUUACCGGUAUUAACAGGGAUGAACGGAGCAGUGUGUACUGGCUCGCGAGAGGUGAAAUUCUUAGACCGUGCCAGACAAACGUAAGCGAAGGCAUUCUGCAAGUAUAUCUUCAGUAAUCAAGAACGAGAGUGCAGGGAUCGAAGAUGAUCAGCUACCGUCGUAGUCUGCUACCGUAAACGAUGCGAACUUGGGAUCAGCCGUCGCCAAUCUUUUUCGAUUACCAGGCUGGAACCUACUUACUUCUCCUAGCGCGAAAGCUUUAAGUUUAUGCGUUCAGGGGAGAGUACAGUUGCAAGGCUGAAACUUAAAGGAAUUGACGGAAUGACACCACAAGGCGUGGAUGCUGCGGCUUAAUUUGACUCAACACGGGGAAUCUCACCAGGUCAGGACGCAUGUUGGAUUGACAGAUUGAAAGCUCUUUCUUGAUUAUGUGUAUGGUGGUGCAUGGCCGCUCCUGGUUGGUGGAGUGAUUUGUCUGGUUGAUUCCGUUAACGAACGAGAUCUUGGCCCUUCAAUGACAGUUUGAUCGUAUCUGUAAUCCAGUCGACGCGCUUGCGUGCUCGCACUGGACGAGAUCUUGUCUUGUACCCAAGGGGACGAUGCGUGUUGACAAUGCAUGGAAGUGCGAGCCAAUAGCAGGUCUGUGAUGCUCCUAGAUGUCCUGGGCUGCACGCGGCAUACAAUGGUGAAGAAAACGAGUUUGGUUUGUUUGAGCUCCUUGUGCGAAAUCAUUGGGGAAUCUGUGGACACUUCAUCGUAUUGGGGAUCGUUGCUUGCAAUUAUUUGCCUUGAACCAGGAAUGCCUUGUAGACACAACUAGCAAAUUGUAUCGAAUACGUCCCUGCCGUUUGUACACACCGCCCGUCGUUGCAAUCGAUCGGUUCAAUGCUAGAGGUCUUCCAGAGGUGAGUUCGAUCCUGUAUUGUCUUUGCCAAAGUUGAUCAAUAGCAUUGAACUAGAGAAUGCAAAAGUCGUAACAAGGUUGCUGUAGGUGAACCUGCAGAAGGAUCAA